AGCGGAGGGAUCAUUACUGAGUUGCAAAACUCCAACCCAUGUGAACCGACCUCUUGUUGUUGCUUCGGCGGGCUCGCCCGCCGGAGGUACCAAACUCUUGAAUCUUCAGGCGUCUCUGAGCAAACAAACAAAAUAAUCAAAACUUUCAACAACGGAUCUCUUGGUUCUGGCAUCGAUGAAGAACGCAGCGAAAUGCGAUAAGUAAUGUGAAUUGCAGAAUUCAGUGAAUCAUCGAAUCUUUGAACGCACAUUGCGCCCGCCGGUAUUCCGGCGGGCAUGCCUGUCCGAGCGUCAUUUCAACCCUCAGGCCCCCCACAGCCUGGUGUUGGGGCGCCCGGGUCCCUAACCGGCCCGGUGCCCCCAAGUCCAUCGGCGGUCUCGUCGGUACGCCGAGCGCAGUAAGACGCGGUAAAACGCGCCCCUCGCCCGGACCGUAGCGUCGAGCGCCUGCCGCUAAACCCCCAAAAUCAUCAAGGUUGACCUCGGAUCAG
rnacentral:rRNA from 1 species